GGAAGUCUCUUCUGUACUGACUGCAAUCAUCGUCAUCCCGUGUCGCUUGAGUUUUCGCAUGUGUCUGAAGGGGUGAGAGAUCACUGCAGAAAGCUCCAGACUCUGUCCAGUUAUGGAGCUCCCCUCUACUCUGGCUUCCUGUUUGCUGAACUUCCAAGCCCAGUGAUGGUGGUGCACGCCUUUAAUCCCAGCACUUGAAGCAGAGGCAAGUGGAUCUCUGUGAGUUCGAGGCCAGUCUGAUCUACAGAGAGACCAGACUGGGUUUGAUGAGCUGACACCCUGUGUACAAGGCCUUUUAAUUAAACCUGGAAACUGCUGUUUCGGCUAGACUGGCUGAUCAGUGAGUCCUGGAAUCUACUCGUUCCCACCCCAACCCUGAAAUUACAGACAUAAGCAGCCACGCCAAGUUUUACAUGGGUACUGGGUCUCAAAACUCAGGUCCCUCUAUUUGUACGAAGCCCUUUACCCACUGAGGCAUCAAGGACCCCAGCCACCUUUUUACCUUGCUGGAGACAGAACCCAGAACCCUGACUGAGCAUGCUAAGCAAGAACUCUACCGCUGAGCUCCGUCUUCUGCCUUAUUCUUGCUCUCUUAUUUCCUCAAGUUAAAUGUCACUGCUGACGAGGAACUGGUACCAAGAGUACAGAAGAACAUCAUGGUAUUUCUCGGUAUUAGACACAGUAGCCAGCACCUCCUAAAGAUGUGAUGAGUGUGUAUACGUGAAUAAAUAUCUUAGAAAAGGAGGCUAUCUCAUCUACCUUAUCAUCUGCCAGGGAACUCAAAAAAGGAAGAAACAUCCAGUUGGUCAGGGGCCAGCAAGACGGCUCAGUGGGUAACGUUACUUGCUGCCAAGACUGAUGACCAAGUGUGGACCUCAGACACACAUGAUGCAAGUAGAGCACUGACUUUUGCAGUUGUCCUCUGAAUCCACACACUGUGGCAUGUGCUCUACACACACACACACACACACACACACACACACACACACACACACAAACAUAAUAAUAAAAGAAAAAUGAUCUGACACCAUGGACGUAAAGCUAAGAUCAAGAUUAACUGUAAAUUUCCAACUCACUUAAUAGGAAAGGUUUUGUCAUAAUCACUGGCAACUUGACACAAACUAUUCCCUGAGAAUAGGGAGUGUUAAUUGAGGAACUGCCUUCAUCAGAUUG